GGGACGGACAGCCGCGUAACCGAGCCGAAAGGCUCCUUUAUGAGGAAAGUCCGGGCUCCAUAGGGCAAGAAUAACGGGUAACACCCGCCGAAGGCGACUUCAGGAAAAGUGCAACAGAGAUAUACCGCUCCGCCGGUAUUGCGCCGGCGGGGUAAGGGUGGAAAGGCGAGGUAAGAGCUCACCCGCCGCAUGGGAACAUCGCGGCGCUGUAAACUCUAUUCGGAGCAACACCGUGGAGGAGACAUUGGCCGGCCCGGCCGUCUCCGGGGAGGUGGCUUGAGCGUACCGGCAACGGUGCGUCGAGAUAGAUGGCUGUCGAUUACAGAACCCGGCUUACAGUCCCGAUC
rnacentral:RNase_P_RNA from 1 species